UCCAGGAUCAAUCUAAAUUCGUCCCUUCCUGGAUUUCAGGGACAAACAUGACGCGUUAAUGGAAUUGCCUCGUUUUGUGAAAGCUGGAACGAAACUGAUAAAUGGUUAGUUAGUUACUUUAAGAUUGAAGUGAAAUAGUGUUGUUUGUCCAGUUCUGGUUAAGACGCGAUGAUUGAUGCAAACGUCAACUUAACAAAAAUCUGAUCUACCCAAGCUUUUUAGAUCAGAUACGUCUCACUCGCCACCAAGUGAGCAUUGUGACUUGUGCUAGUUCCUUACUUUCUUUUUAAAGUGUGUAAAAUAAUUGAGAACUUGGCCGUAAAUUUUUCAUGGGUUGAUGUUCGGGGUGCAUAAAUACCACCUCAAAAUUGAUGCAAGCCUGGACUUGAACUUUGCUGCCAGAAGGAAGCUCACGUCUUGCAGGUGCGCAACGUCACGAUGAAUUAAUGCCAGUAAAAGUUAAAUAACUCUAAGUGAUUAAAGUUUCGCCAAAAAAUAAGUGUGAUAAUAUCAAGGUAGCCUUACGAAAUGAAAUGAGGGAUCAUCUCCAUACGCCGUUUCGUGUCUACAUGUCCCGCCCUCUAAACCAUUCCCCAGAUUUCCAGGAUGGUAGACUUUUAGAAUUUCCUAUAUGGUCUCCCCUCGCCCCGCGGAAGAUGACAC